AUGAAUUCUGGAAUCUUGCAAGAAUUCCAGAUGGAACUCACCUGCCCCAUCUGCAUGAAAUACUUCAUAGACCCGGUCACCGUAGACUGUGGGCACAGCUUUUGCAGGCCCUGUUUCUACUUCAAGUGGCAAGACAUCCCAAUUUUUACUCAGUGCUUUGAAUGCAUGAAGACAACAUGGCAGAGAAACCUCAAAACUAACAUUCAUUUGAAGAAGAUGGCUUCCCUUGCCAGAAAAGUCAGUCUCUGGCUAUUCCUGAGCUCUGAGGAGCAAAUGUGUGGCACUCACAGGGAGACAAAGAAGAUGUUCUGUGAAGUGGACAAGAGUCUGCUCUGUCUGCUGUGCUCCAGCUCUCAGGAGCACCGGUAUCACAGACACCGUCCCGUUGAGUGGGCUGCUGAGGAACACCGGCAGGAGAAGCUUUUAAAUAAAAUGCAGUCUUUAUGGGAAAAAGCUUGUGAAAAUCAGAGAAACCUGAACAUGGAAACCGCCAGAAUCAGCCACUGGAAGCAUUAUCACUGCAGGAUUACGUGAAUUUAAGGCUAGAAGCAAUUAGAGCUGAGUAUGAGAAGAUGGCUGCAUUUCACCAUGAAGAAGAAAAACAUAAUUUGCACAUGCUGAAAAAGAAGGGGAAAGAUAUUUUUCAUCAACUUCAUUUAAGUAAAGCCAAAAUGGCUCAUAGGAGGGAGAUUUUAAGAGGAAUGUAUGAGGAGCUGAAGGAAAUGUGCCAUAAACCAGAUGUGGAGCUACUUCAGAGGAGUGAGUCCGUGCUGUUGCACAUGCCCCAGCCUCUGAAUCUAGAGCUCAGUGCAGGGCCCAUCACUGGACUGAGGGACAGGCUCAUCUAAUUCUUUGCAGUGGAUAUUACUCUGAAUAAUGAUGAGCCAACAGUCGUAUCUUUUGAUGUGGAGAUUUGAGAAGCAUGUGUAUUGGAUGUGACCGUCAAAAUCCACCCCAUAUCACUGCAACACCUACAAGUUUUCUUGCAUGGGGUGCUCAGACUUUCACCUCCAGCAAAUAUUACUGGGAUGUCCAUGUGGGGGACACUUGGAAUUGGGCUUUUGGUGUCUGUAAUAAGUAUUGGAAAGGGAAGAAUCAGAAUGGCAAUAUAUAUGGAGAGGAGGGACUCUUUAGUCUUGGAUGUGUCAAGAAUGACAUUCAGUGCAGUCCCUUUACCACCUCCCCACUUACACUGCAAUAUAUCCCAAGACCUACCAGCCUCAUAGGAUUAUUCCUGGAUUGUGAAGCUAGAACUGUGAGCUUCGUUGAUGUUAAUCAAAGCUGCCUUAUAUACACGAUCCCUAAUUGCUCCUUCUCGCCUCCUGUCAGGCCUAUCUUUCGGUGUGUUCACCUC
rnacentral:lncRNA from 1 species